rnacentral:rRNA from 1 species
GAUGAACGCUGGCGGCGUGCCUAAUACAUGCAAGUCGAGCGAACAGAUAAGGAGCUUGCUCCUUUGACGUUAGCGGCGGACGGGUGAGUAACACGUGGGUAACCUACCUAUAAGACUGGGAUAACUUCGGGAAACCGGAGCUAAUACCGGAUAACAUUUGGAGCCGCAUGGUUCUAAAGUGAGAGAUGGUUUUGCUAUCACUUAUAGAUGGACCCGCGCCGUAUUAGCUAGUUGGUAAGGUAACGGCUUACCAAGGCAACGAUACGUAGCCGACCUGAGAGGGUGAUCGGCCACACUGGAACUGAGACACGGUCCAGACUCCUACGGGAGGCAGCAGUAGGGAAUCUUCCGCAAUGGGCGAAAGCCUGACGGAGCAACGCCGCGUGAGUGAUGAAGGGUUUCGGCUCGUAAAACUCUGUUAUUAGGGAAGAACAAACGUGUAAGUAACUGUGCACGUCUUGACGGUACCUAAUCAGAAAGCCACGGCUAACUACGUG